rnacentral:rRNA from 1 species
GACGAACGCUGGCGGCGUGCUUAACACAUGCAAGUCGAACGGAAAGGCCCUGCUUGCAGGGUGCUCGAGUGGCGAACGGGUGAGUAACACGUGGGUGAUCUACCCCUUACUUUGGGAUAAGCCUGGGAAACUGGGUCUAAUACUGGAUAGGACCAUGCUGUAGGUGGUGUGGUGGAAAGAUUAGUUUCGGUAAGGGAUGAGCUCGCGGCCUAUCAGCUUGUUGGUGGGGUAAUGGCCUACCAAGGCGUCGACGGGUAGCCGGCCUGAGAGGGUGGACGGCCACAUUGGGACUGAGAUACGGCCCAGACUCCUACGGGAGGCAGCAGUGGGGAAUAUUGCACAAUGGGCGCAAGCCUGAUGCAGCGACGCCGCGUGGGGGAUGACGGCCUUCGGGUUGUAAACUCCUUUCAGCCAUGACGAAGCCCUUGUGGUGACGGUAGUGGUAGAAGAAGCACCGGCUAACUACGUG